CCCAAAGGGUCAGGAGAACCCAGGCAGUCCUCUGGGUGACUAAUGCAGCAGGCAGGCCUGAUCACCGCCGCCACUUCCUGGGUUUUCUUUGUCAAAAAUAAAACAAAAUGGAAGCAUGAAAAUCUGGAGUCGGGUCCUGGGCAGCCAUGGGGAAGAAGGAAACCCAGUUGCACACUCUCCCAUCUUUUUAUGAGCUCAGGACAAAAUAGUCCAGGGGGUGUCCCCGUGAAGGUCUCCUUGUGUUUGCCAUUAACCACUCAAAGGACCACCAUCCUGAUCAAGCCUGUGAGAAGUGAAGCCACAGGAGUCUAGGGCCCUGGGACCUGUGUUCGAGUCACGUCCACCCCUUCUCCUCCCCAACUCUUUCUCUGAGAUCUGCAGUCAAAUCCAUCCCGCUAUUGCCUCUGACGAGGCAAGAGACUUCAUUUAUGAACAAAUACUUGGUAGGGUAUUUGCUAAGUAUGAAGGCAAGUCAAGAACAACAAGACAAGAACAACAAGACAAGACAACGCCAGCGAAUGGCCUUUCCAAGUGAUUGUUUUGCUGUCCAUCUUUAGGGCAUCCCAGACCCAAAUCCCCUUCCCAGAACCCCACUCCCUUGAAGGCACUGCCUCCCUCCUAUAAGGAUUUCAACUGCUUGAGGACAGGGACUGGAGGAAGAAAAUAGCAGGAAGUAAAUGCUGUGUGCUCAGCCUUGGACCAAGAGUUGGGGAUACAAAUAGAAAAGGGAAGACAGUCCCUGCCCGCAAGCAGCUUCUAGUCUAACAGUACAGGAGAGCUGGCCAAAGAAGGGUAUGUCUAUUUGGAUGGUUUGGGAUUGGAGAUUGGAUGGAUAUAAACUGCCUAAAGGUCAUGGCGCUGUUGAUUUAAUUUGGGUUUCAGAAAUAGACAGGGAAAAAAAGAAAUAGAAAGACUAAACCAGGGGUAGAGAGUGAGAGACUUUUGAGAGCCCAGCCUGUGGUCUCCCAAAGGCUUAUCCAUUGAGAGAUGGAAUGGACUAGAGUCCUCUACCCCCCUCUUAUUUGACAAAUUGAGGAAACUAAGGCCCAGGAAGGAAAAAAAAAGUGACGCGCCCAACUUCCUGUAGUUAUAAGAGGCAACGUCAGGAUUGGAACCCAGGUUCCCAGAUAUUAAAUCUCAGUUCUUUCCAUUGCACCCUUCUCUUCUAUGAUUUACAUCUUUGAGGACUUUCAGGGACUUUAGACAAAAGGUAACUGAAAAAUUUCCUGACUUUCCCCCACCUUGUUCAAUAACUUCCCUCCCUCUUGGUUCUAUUUCUUUCUUUGUUGUUUUAAUAAAAGUCUAUUUAUGUCCCA
rnacentral:lncRNA from 1 species